AUUUCACCUAGCUCAGUCGGUAGAGCAUGAGACUCUUAAUCUCAGGGUUGUGGGUCUGAGCCCCAUGUUGUGUGAAACA
rnacentral:tRNA from 1 species